GAUAAGGUUAAGUGAAUAAGGGCGCACGGUGGAUGCCUUGGCACUAGGAGCCGAUGAAGGACGGGACUAACACCGAUAUGCUUUGGGGAGCUGUACGUAAGCUAUGAUCCAGAGAUUUCCGAAUGGGGGAACCCAGCAUCUUUAAUAGGAUGUUACGAUUGUGUGAAUACAUAGCACAUUCGAGGUAGACGCAGAGAACUGAAACAUCUAAGUACCUGCAGGAAGAGAAAGAAAAUUCGAUUCCCUGAGUAGCGGCGAGCGAAACGGGAAAAGCCCAAACCAACAAGCUUGCUUGUUGGGGUUGUAGGACUCCGAUAUGGUCGUUCUUUCAGAUAGUCGAAUGACUUGGAAAAGUCAGUCAAAGAGGGUAAAAACCCCGUAGAC
rnacentral:rRNA from 1 species